rnacentral:snoRNA from 1 species
AUCCUUUUGUGGUUCAGAAGCGUGAUGAUUGGGUGUUCACACCUGUGCGUGACAUGUGCCUCCCUCCUGGCACAGUACCCGUCUGACG